GGAAAAAAAUGGGUUAAAAGUCGAACAGGUAAACUGAAUUGUUGUAUAUCUGUAAAGUUGUUUUAUGAAUAUAUUCAUAAAAAAGGAAAAAAGGAAAAUGCAUUUUGAUGAGAGUAGAAUUGUGCGAAAAGUUUUAUGGGACAGUGGGUUGUAUCAUUGUGUUUUUUUGCUGGAAUGUGUGUUUUUGUAUUGUAUAGAUUUUUGUUCAACUACAUACAAAGUCAAAUUAUUUUUCUUCCAAAUUACAGAUUAUUUUGAACCUGAGGGAGAGGAUGGUGCUCAGACUGAGAAGCAAGGAAUAGGAGAGAGUGCUGUGUUAGUGGAAGAAGAGUUGGCUGAAGUGGAUUAAAGCAGCAGAAGGAUUGAUGUAUAUAUUGUAACUGGUGUAUAUAUUUUGUAAAAUAAAAGUUAAAAUUCAAAUAAAAGUAAUUGUUAUAAGUGUUGAGGUGUGCAUAGUUGUUUUGUGAUGUUUGAUAAUGUGCUUAUAUCAAUCUGUGCUAUAUUUUCAAAUAAAAGCUAUUUUUGUAAUGUGUGAGAUGCUCUCUCUCUGUGUAUGUGUGUUUGUGUGUGUGUGUGUUUUAAUAAUUAAUGUUAUUGUGACGAAUAAGUCUUCAAGUCUAAAUAUAAAAGAGAUAACGUAGGAAAUUUUGGGCAAACUUGGCACAGUGGUAAUGUAUUUUAGUUAACGGUGUUGGGUUUAAAUCACAUGGUGUUCAUUUUUCUUUGGGUUUUUACAGUUUGUAGUAAAUAUAUUUUAUUGAUCUGAUCACAGAAGAUCUGGGAUUCAGUGUUGUCAAAAAAUAAGAUCAUGGCUAGUAUUAUAUAAAGAUGUUCAAAUGAGAACAUGUCUGUCACAGAUACACUGUGAAAGUUGUGUUUUUUAUCAUAAAAUGAUACAUCAGGUUAUAUAUGUGUGAAAUAAAGUAAUUUUUAAACAAGUAAGGACAUUUUGGAUGUUAAGAGAAAUUAGUGCAAGAAGUGUUUGGGUACAGUCAUUUUUUCUAGCAAGGUGAUGUGGGUUUUGGAUAUUUAAUUUUAGUUGUAAUAAACUUAGUCAACAAUACAAAAAUAUGUUUUAUGUUUACAUUAAAGAGUUUUGAAGAGAUGAGUAAAUGGAAAUUGAGCCUAAAUGAGAAAAGUCACUUAAAAUUAGAGGAAGAGGCUUAUGAAACUUUAGAUGUU
ensembl:lncRNA